GCACAAGCGGUGGAGCAUGUGGUUUAAUUCGAUGCAACGCGAAGAACCUUACCUGGUCUUGACAUCCCGGAGACCCUUAGGAAACUAGGGGGUGCUUCCAUCUGGAAGAAUCUGGAGACAGGUGCUGCAUGGCUGUCGUCAGCUCGUGUCGUGAGAUGUUGGGUUAAGUCCCGCAACGAGCGCAACCCUUGCCUUUAGUUGCCAGCAGUUCGGCUGGGCACUCUAAAGGGACUGCCGGUGUUAAACCGGAGGAAGGUGGGGAUGACGUCAAGUCCUCAUGGCCUUUAUGACCAGGGCUACACACGUACUACAAUGGCCGAUACAAAGGGCAGCGACACUGCGAGGUGAAGCCAAUCCCGUAAAAUCGGUCUCAGUCCGGAUUGGAGUCUGCAACUCGACUCCAUGAAGUUGGAAUCGCUAGUAAUCGUGGAUCAGCAUGCCACGGUGAAUACGUUCCCGGGCCUU
rnacentral:rRNA from 1 species